CCUACGGGAGGCAGCAGUGGGGAAUAUUGGACAAUGGGCGGAACCCUGAUGCAGCAACGCCGCGUGAACGAUGAAGGGCUUCGGCAUGUAAAGCCCUAUCGUCAGGGAAGAAAAUGACGGUACCUGACUAAGAAGCCCCGUCUCAAUACGUGCCAGCAGACGCGGUAAUACUCAUGUGGCCAGCGUUAGCCGGAUUUACUGGGUGUAAAGGGAGCGUAGGGGGCCUUGCACGCUUUAUGUGAAAUACCGGGGCGUAACCCCGGGGCUGCAUUGGGAACUGUCAGGCUUGAGUGCCGGAGAGGCAGGCGGAAUUCCUAGUGUAGCGGUGAAAUGCGUAGAUAUUAGGAGGAACACCAGUGGCGAAGGCGGCCUGCUGGACGGUGACUGACGCUGAGGCUCGAAAGCGUGGGGAGCAAACAGGAUUAGAUACCCUUGUAGUC
rnacentral:rRNA from 1 species